rnacentral:rRNA from 1 species
GACGAACGCUGGCGGCGUGCUUAAUACAUGCAAGUCAACUGAACUUUAGGUAGCAAUAUUUAAAGGGAGGUGGCGCACGGGUGAGUAACACGUAGGUAAUCUGCCUUCAGGACCGACAUAACUCCGCGAAAGCGGGACUAAAAUCAGAUGAUGCAGCGGCUCGACAUCGAGACAGUUGUUAAACCUUCGGGGCCUGAAGAUGAGCCUGCGUCUGAUUAGGUAGUUGGAGGGGUAAUGGCCCACCAAGCCUGCGAUCAGUAGCUGGUCUGAGAGGAUGAUCAGCCACACUGGAACUGAGACACGGUCCAGACUCCUACGGGAGGCAGCAGUAAGGAAUAUUGCUCAAUGGCCGAAAGGCUGAAGCAGCAACGCCGCGUGGAGGAUGAAAUACUUUAGUAUGUAAACUACCUGUAAGAGGGGAAAAUAAUACAGUUACUGCUGUAUUGAUUGUACCCUCAGAGUAAGCACCGGCUAACUACGU